rnacentral:rRNA from 1 species
UCGUACCCCAAACCGACACAGGUGGUCAGGUAGAGAAUACCAAGGCGCUUGAGAGAACUCGGGUGAAGGAACUAGGCAAAAUGGUGCCGUAACUUCGGGAGAAGGCACGCUGACACGUAGGUGAAGUGAUUUACUCAUGGAGCUGAAGUCAGUCGAAGAUACCAGCUGGCUGCAACUGUUUAUUAAAAACACAGCACUGUGCAAACACGAAAGUGGACGUAUACGGUGUGACGCCUGCCCGGUGCCGGAAGGUUAAUUGAUGGGGUCAGCGUAAGCGAAGCUCCUGAUCGAAGCCCCGGUAAACGGCGGCCGUAACUAUAACGGUCCUAAGGUAGCGAAAUUCCUUGUCGGGUAAGUUCCGACCUGCACGAAUGGCGUAAUGAUGGCCAGGCUGUCUCCACCCGAGACUCAGUGAAAUUGAACUCGCUGUGAAGAUGCAGUGUACCCGCGGCAAGACGGAAAGACCCCGUGAACCUUUACUAUAGCUUGACACUGAACAUUGAGCCUUGAUGUGUAGGAUAGGUGGGAGGCUUUGAAGUGUGGACGCCAGUCUGCAUGGAGCCGACCUUGAAAUACCACCCUUUAAUGUUUGAUGUUCUAACGUGGACCCGUAAUCCGGGUUGCGGACAGUGUCUGGUGGGUAGUUUGACUGGGGCGGUCUCCUCCUAAAGAGUAACGGAGGAGCACGAAGGUUGGCUAAUCCUGGUCGGACAUCAGGAGGUUAGUGCAAUGGCAUAAGCCAGCUUGACUGCGAGCGUGACGGCGCGAGCAGGUGCGAAAGCAGGUCAUAGUGAUCCGGUGGUUCUGAAUGGAAGGGCCAUCGCUCAACGGAUAAAAGGUACUCCGGGGAUAACAGGCUGAUACCGCCCAAGAGUUCAUAUCGACGGCGGUGUUUGGCACCUCGAUGUCGGCUCAUCACAUCCUGGGGCUGAAGUAGGUCCCAAGGGUAUGGCUGUUCGCCAUUUAAAGUGGUACGCGAGCUGGGUUUAGAACGUCGUGAGACAGUUCGGUCCCUAUCUGCCGUGGGCGCUGGAGAACUGAGGGGGGCUGCUCCUAGUACGAGAGGACCGGAGUGGACGCAUCACUGGUGUUCGGGUUGUCAUGCCAAUGGCACUGCCCGGUAGCUAAAUGCGGAAGAGAUAAGUGCUGAAAGCAUCUAAGCACGAAACUUGCCCCGAGAUGAGUUCUCCCUGAGACUUAGAGUCUCCUGAAGGAACGUUGAAGACGACGACGUUGAUAGGCCGGGUGUGUAAGCGCAGCGAUGCGUUGAGCUAACCGGUACUAAUGAACCGUGAGGCUUAACCUUACA